CCUACGGGGUGCAGCAGUGAGGAAUAUUGGUCAAUGGACGAGAGUCUGAACCAGCCAAGUAGCGUGAAGGAUGACUGCCCUAUGGGUUGUAAACUUCUUUUAUAUGGGAAUAAAAUGUUCCACGUGUGGGAUUUUGUAUGUACCAUAUGAAUAAGGAUCGGCUAACUCCGUGCCAGCAGCCGCGGUAAUACGGAGGAUCCGAGCGUUAUCCGGAUUUAUUGGGUUUAAAGGGAGCGUAGGUGGAUUGUUAAGUCAGUUGUGAAAGUUUGCGGCUCAACCGUAAAAUUGCAGUUGAAACUGGCAGUCUUGAGUACAGUAGAGGUGGGCGGAAUUCGUGGUGUAGCGGUGAAAUGCUUAGAUAGCACGAAGAACUCCGAUUGCGAAGGCAGUUCACUGGACUGCAACUGACACUGAGGCUCGAAAGUGUGGGUAUCAAACAGGAUUAGAUACCCGAGUAGUC
rnacentral:rRNA from 1 species